AGACUUUUACAUGAAAAUCUCAUGUGAGAGGAUUGUUGCUUACUUGCUUGUGUUUCUAAACAAUAUUUGCUACUCAUUGCAUCCCCCCUCCCCAACACUUUUUUUCUUUUGGAAAAUGUGUUCACUGAGUAACCUUUUCCUUUGUCUGAAAAAUGGCGUCUUGUUUCCAAGUGUUAAUAUACCUAAUAAUAGCAUUUCUACCCCUAAUUUGAACGUUUUCCAGUAAAUUAGAGUAUUACGGAAAAGACUUGAGCAGAUUUGUGUCUAAUCAAGAGAUACUUUGGAUUAACUUCAAGAGUUUUGAUAUAUAGACACUUAUAAUGACAAACCUCUUUCGACACCCUGCACAUGUAUAUAGAUCAAUGAUGGUGAGAUGGUUUGGUGACAUUAUGACUGCUUUGAUUGAAUCAAAUGAGGGGUACCUUUAGGUGUUUGUUACUAUUUAGGUGUUCAAGUAUCAUUUUUGUAACUUUGAUUUGGAAGAUUAAGGAUCAAAAGAAGAUUAAGUAGGAAAGUGACUUGUUCCAUGUCUUAAAAAAAUUGUUUUAUGUCAUUUGAAAAUCAUAACGUUAUAAUCGUCAUACUAUGUUAACAUGUCACAAUUUUAUGGCAAAUGACAUAUGUUCACACUCAUUUCACUCCCACCACAUGAGAGAAAUAGGAACAUAAGAGAAAAAAUUGAGAUAGCUGAGUCAUGUGACAAAAAAAAAAAAAAGAAAAAAAAAUGUAGAAAGAAAAAAUGGGUUAAAGUUUUCCUGCGAAAGCAAAGAGUCUAGUAGAAUCAUGACGUUGAAGCCUUAAAGGCUUUGGAUCCAUAUUUGGCCCAAACCAAAAACUCAAUAAAACUCUCAAAAAAUGAGUUUUUUUUUUUAUAAAUAUUUUCAAAAUUAGUUGGUCUGUGUUGGGGAAUAAUAAACACCGGGAAGCACACACACCGGAAACAGAGGAAAACGAUGAGGAUCUUCGGCAAACACGUGUUUCCACGCCAAAUUAUACUUUUCGCUUCCGGGCUUCUGGUAUUGUCGGCAACAACGUACGACGUGCACAGAUCCAUCAAGAAUAACCAGACACCCCCUUCUGAGGAGCAGCUCAAAGCACUUCAAGACUACAUCAAAUCUCGUCGAUCACCUUGAAUGAAACCACAUGGCUGGCUGAGGCUCAUGAUCUGCCACGUCAUUCACAUUUCCAAACCAUGUACUGUGUGCUAAUUAAGAUAGUUUUACCAAAUUUAAUUUCUUCUCCAACAUCUUUGUAUAUGUGUAUUAAACUAGUUAUACUUGGUCAAUAAAUGUGUAAAAGUAAUUGCUUGCAUGAACUGAUUUGUAC